GACGAACGCUGGCGGCGUGCUUAACACAUGCAAGUCGAACGAUGAUGCGGUGCUUGCACCGUUGAUUAGUGGCGAACGGGUGAGUAACACGUGAGUAACCUGCCCUCUUCUUUGGGAUAACGGUCUGAAAGGGCUGCUAAUACUGAAUAUUCACAUGUCUUCGCAUGGGGGUGUGUGGAAAGAGAUGCUUUUGGGUGUUUUUGGUGGGGGAUGGGCUCGCGGCCUAUCAGCUUGUUGGUGGGGUAGUGGCCUACCAAGGCUUUGACGGGUAACCGGCCUGAGAGGGUGACCGGUCACAUUGGGACUGAGAUACGGCCCAGACUCCUACGGGAGGCAGCAGUGGGGAAUUUUGCACAAUGGACGCAAGUCUGAUGCAGCGACGCCGCGUGAGGGAUGUAGGCCUUCGGGUUGUGAACCUCUUUCGCUCAUGGUCAAGCCGCAGCUUUGGGUUGUGGUGAGGGUAGUGGGUAAAGAAGCGCCGGCUAACUACGUGCCGGCACGCGCGGUAACACCUAGGGCGCGAGCGUUUUCCGGAGUUAUUUGGCCGCAAUGGGCGUGGAGCGUGUGGUUCUCGGCUGCUGUGCACUCAUCGGGUGAACUGGGGGCGUGCGUAGGUUCUCGGUUCGAUAGAUAGGGUAAGGGCAAAUUGGCAUUGUGUGUUUUUCUUUGUUAUCCUCCUAACCCACAAAACAAGGGGGAUAAACC
rnacentral:rRNA from 1 species